GAGAGCACAGUACGAUGAAAGUUGUAAGCUGUAUUCGGGGGGGAGUUAUUGUCUAUCGUUGGCCUCUAUAGUAGAAUCAGUCGAGGGACCUGAGAGCCGGUGGUUUACCCUAC
rfam:Capsicum annuum cultivar Zunla-1 chromosome 7, whole genome shotgun sequence